UGACUGAAGUUCACAGCUGUGCUCACCCCAUGCCCUGCUGCCGGUGCAGGCCUUCCACGGCAGAGACGAGAAACUUUAGAAAAACCUUAGAGGCCUUCAUUCUUAGAGCUUCACCAGACAGAAGAACUCGAAGAAAGACAGGUCUUAGACGUGCAGUAGCUUUAGCCUGCUGAGAGGAAAUAAAACACA